rnacentral:rRNA from 1 species
AUUGAACGCUGGCGGCAUGCCUUACACAUGCAAGUCGAACGGUAACAGGUUAAGCUGACGAGUGGCGAACGGGUGAGUAAUAUAUCGGAACGUGCCCAGUCGUGGGGGAUAACGUAGCGAAAGCUACGCUAAUACCGCAUACGAUCUACGGAUGAAAGCGGGGGAUCGCAAGACCUCGCGCGAUUGGAGCGGCCGAUAUCAGAUUAGGUUGUUGGUGAGGUAAAAGCUCACCAAGCCUGCGAUCUGUAGCUGGUCUGAGAGGACGACCAGCCACACUGGAACUGAGACACGGUCCAGACUCCUACGGGAGGCAGCAGUGGGGAAUUUUGGACAAUGGACGCAAGUCUGAUCCAGCAAUGCCGCGUGCAGGACGAAGGCCUUCGGGUUGUAAACUGCUUUUGUACGGGACGAAACGGUGAGCUCUAAUACAGUUUGCUAAUGACGGUACCGUAAGAAUAAGCACCGGCUAACUACGUGCCAGCCGCCGCGGUAAGAC